UCUCAGCAUUUCUCUCUCAAAUAUGCCUUGAGGAGUGAGAUUUUUGUUCAUUUAUGGUUAGCUCUUCAGCUCAACUGUAUCUUUUCUGUCCAGCCCUAUUGGGUUUUCUUCCUGGUAAUAAAAAUGAUGCAAAACUUGAGGAAUGAAUACUCACAAGGGACUGAAUGCUUAGAUGAUGCAGCGUUUUCUAUUCAAGAUGACUCCUUCGUCUGACUGAGAAAAAGUGAAGUGUGGAGAUGAGAGGGGAUUGGAAACGGAAGAAAAGAGAACUUGACAAAGGAAGAAAAACCAAGAAUUCCUCAUCCACUCUUUACCAUUCACCAUGUGCUGGAGAUAGAGUUUGAAUAUUGCCUACCUCCUUCAUGCACCCAACAAAGCAUGAGCUGCAGAAUAUUAGUGCCAGGCCUCUUUGUCUCUAACCUCACCACUUCUUCCCUCCACUUCUCUUUGCUUUGAGCUUCUUUCUGCUGUUUGCAACAAGGCCAUCCAUCUGCCAUGCUAAACACAACUUGUGCUGAAAGUAAACACUUGACUAAAGAUAUGCCAAGGAUAUGUAAAGGUUUGCUAAGAGUCUCAUACUCAUCUUCUCUUGUCCUAUUAAAUUACAAUGAUCUGA